rnacentral:rRNA from 1 species
AUUGAACGCUGGCGGCAUGCCUUACACAUGCAAGUCGAACGGCAGCACGGGUGCUUGCACCUGGUGGCGAGUGGCGAACGGGUGAGUAAUACAUCGGAACGUACCUUAUCGUGGGGGAUAACGCAGCGAAAGCUGUGCUAAUACCGCAUACGCCCGGAGGGGGAAAGCGGGGGGUCGAAAGACCUCGCGCGAUUAGAGCGGCCGAUGCCUGAUUAGCUUGUUGGUGGGGUAAAAGCGCACCAAGGCGACGAUCAGUAGCUGGUCUGAGAGGACGAUCAGCCACACUGGGACUGAGACACGGCCCAGACUCCUACGGGAGGCAGCAGUGGGGAAUUUUGGACAAUGGGGGCAACCCUGAUCCAGCAAUGCCGCGUGAGUGAAGAAGGCCUUCGGGUUGUAAAGCUCUUUUGUCAGGGAAGAAACACCGGCUCUAACACAGUCCGGGAAUGACGGUACCUGAAGAAUAAGCACCGGCUAACUACGUGCCAGCCGCCGCCGUAA